AAUUUUAACAAAUAAAAGACUAGCAGGUAUCAGGAGCAACCGUUAUGGCUAAGACUGAGAUAGAGCUCCCAAUAUAGAGCUUUCCCCCUACUAGGGCUGAAAUCCAGAUGUCUUUGGAAAGGGCACACCUUUGAUUCACUGGAUAGUGGAGAAGUCACUAAGGUGCCUCGUAAGUGGGAGCAUAAGUGGGAGUUGCUAGAAGUUUCUGGGGUGCCAGGGGGGCCAUCCACAGAAAAGUGGAGUCUUAAAUCAUCAGAGUGAACUCCCUGAGUGUCAGAGGGAGCUGGUGGUGGCUGGGCACUGCUGGAACCGAAAUCUGGAGAAGCAGCCCUCUAGGAGCCCAGCAUGCCUGCAGGACGGCCCUGGGAUUCUAGGACUGAAAAGAUGUGGGGAGCAGUGACUUGGUUUGGUGUGCAGGCCCAUACCAUCUGGGAAAUCCCGGAUAAUCUCCAGCUGAACACUUGAGAAAAUUGCAGCCUGCAGCAUGGGAGAAACCACACAGGGAAUAAGCAUGCAGGGGAGGGUGGAGUGUGCCCUACAACAGCCUAGAGAGUGAAUCAUACCAGAACCAGGAAAGGAAAAUCCCUUCCUCCUCCAGCGUCCUCCAGAACCCUCUACUGACAAGGUUUAACACUCGGCUAGCUAGCAAAGGAGAAAUAUUUCCAAAAUCCAUCUUCAUUUAUUACAAAGUAGGCCAAAAUAUGGUGAAUUUGGAGCUAAGAGGAAAUACAUCAAUAAACAGCAUAGUCUGCCCCUUUGAGUACUCACUGUCCAUAUAUACCUUCUACGCACACUUGAAUGCCAUACAAUAAUAACUCUACAUUUCACCUAACAGGAUACUCAUCAUCUCCAAAAUGAGGAGAUGCAACAAUCAUUGCAUACAGUGCUGUGGCUAUAUUAAUUGCCCUUUAGAAUCAUCACAGUUCCACUGGAUAGUCUGUUGCCCAAAGACUAAUUGUGAAUUUAACCUCUAGCAACUUGCAUAUAAAAUUUUUGUUAAUAGAAGGGAGCAAGAAGAGGAAAAUGUGAGCAUAUAUACAUAAGUACAUACACAUGAAAAGCAAAAAAGGAAAUAUUCAAAAUGACUACAGCCCUUUUUUCUGCAGUUGGUCACAAGGCCCUAAUUUUUACUUAUGGCUUCCUUCUUCUACUGUUCAUUGAUUUCGCCCACCUCCAGCCAGAACCUGGUAGAGUAAUUCAAACUCUCAUUCCUGAAAGUUCCAAGUCCUCAAUUAUCCUGCCUUUUAUUUUGGUUUCUGUACUUUUCUACUACACUUUUCUAUUGCAUAUGGAGUACUAAUAUACACCCCAAACUGUCUCCUGGGUUACAGACAUAGUCUUCCUUGCCCCUAAUGUAUAAAGGCAACCCAGUUUCCUCUUGGCAAUAGGGAUCAGUCACUCCACCUAGUAGAGCAAUCCACCUUUCUGCCUGUUGAUUCAGUAGCAUGAGGAGUCCAGAAUAGCCAAAUGGAAAUCUUUCUCCAAUUCAGUGGAACCAUUGUGUCUCAUGGUGGAAACCAUGUUCCCUUUAAGAACUCAGAUCUCUGAAAUGGCAGAGCUCAAAGAUGCCAGAAGCAGCAGCAAAUAUUCUGCAAGUGUGUUAUUAGGUGUUGCUACGGUCUGAAUGUUGGUGACCUCCCAAAAUUUAUAUGUUGAAAUCUAAUCACAAACGUAAUAGUAUUAAGAAAUGGGGCCUUUAGGAAGUGAUUAAGUCAUGAGAGUGGAACCCUCAUAAAUGAGAUUAGUGCCUUGGUAAAAGAGGUGCAAGGGAACUGUUCACCCCUUCCUCCAGGUGAAGAGCCACAAGAAGAUGCCAUAUUGGAAGCAGAAAGCAAGCCCUCGCCAGGCACUGAAUCUGCUUGAUCUGGGACUUCCCAGCAUCUAGAACUAGAAACAGAACCAAUGGGAUGUACAUAAAGAGAUUUAUUGUAAGAAAUCGGCACAUGUGAUUAUGGAGGCUGACAAAUCCCAAGAUCUGCAGGGGGAGGUGGCAAGCUGGAGACUCAGGGGAGCAUGUCUUGAACCAGAGCCAAUGUGGGUUUCCACAGACCACGGGGCAAGACACGUUGACUUUACCUCCACUCAUAUCUGCUGUACAGAAAACCCAACAUGAUUAAUCUAGCCUACAAUUUGACAGAGACAGAAUUGAAUAUAAGCAGUUAUUCCUCAGGUGCCCCCAGUGAUUACCUGCUCUUCCAACAGAACAGAAAAGGUCUUAACGACCACGGGAUAAAGACACCAUUCUGUGUUUCAAGGCUGGAGUUAUCCAGGAAUAAAGCUAUAUCUUCAAGC
rnacentral:lncRNA from 1 species